UGGCGGUGGGCGGCGCUCAGGCCCGGUGGCGUCGCGGUGUUGACAGCGGCGGCCGCGCCGGGAGCUGCCCCGGGAAGCAGGUUGGAGGCACCGGGCUUUCGUUCUCCCUCCUCCCGGGAUGGCCUUCAUGGAGAAGCCGCCGGCCGGCAAGGUGCUGCUGGACGACACGGUGCCGCUGACAGCGCAGAUCGAAGCGAGCCAGAGCCUGCACUCCCACACGGAAUACAUAAUCCGUGUUCAGAGAGGAAUUUCGACAGAAAACAGUUGGCAGAUUGUGAGGCGAUACAGCGACUUUGACUUGCUUAAUAAUAGCUUGCAGAUCUCAACUCUAAGUCUACCUCUUCCUCCAAAAAAACUGAUUGGAAAUAUGGAGCGGGAAUUCAUAGCAGAAAGACAGAAAGGACUCCAGGCCUAUCUUGAUGUAAUUACUACCCAUCACAUACUGUCUAACUGUGAACUGGUAAAAAAAUUCUUGGACCCAAACAGCUAUUCUGUAAACUACACUGAGAUUGCCUUACAGCAUGUUUCAAUGUUCUUCCGAUCAGAGCCAAAGUGGGAAGUGGCAGAGCCAUUAAAAGAUAUAGGCUGGCGAAUACGUAAGAAAUAUUUCCUAAUGAAGAUUAAGAAUCAACCAAAGGAACGACUAAUGUUAAGCUGGGCUGAUCUUGGCCCUGAUAAAUACUUGUCUGACAAAGACUUACAGUAUGCUGUGAAACUUCUUUCUUCCUGUUCUCAUCCCUAUAUUUACAAAAUCACUUUUGCCACUGCCAAUGAAUCUUCAGCACUGGUUAUUAGACCAUUCAGUGAAAAAGGGACACUAAAAGACAUUAUUUAUAAGGCAAAACCAAAAGACCCUUUCCUGAAGAAGUAUUGCAAUCCUAAAAAAAAUCAAGGUCUUGAUCUUCAGCAAAUAAAAACAUAUGGAAGGCAAAUAUUAGAGGUAUUAAAAUUCUUGCAUGAGAAAGGAUUUCCUUAUGGCCAUCUUCACUCUGCCAAUGUGAUGCUGGAUGGGGACACCUGCAAGUUACUGGAUCUAGAAAAUUCCUUAUUGGGACUUCCAUCAUUUUAUAGAUCAUACUUUUCACAGUUUCGGAAAAUUAAUACUUUAGAAGGUGUUGAUGUACAUUGCUUUGGACACUUGCUGUAUGAAAUGACAUAUGGAAGACCCCCAGAUACAAUCCCAGUUGACAGCUUCCCUCCUGCACCAUCAGUGUCUGUUGUGUCAGUGUUGGAAUCCAUUCUGACCUGUGAAGCUAUGAAGAAUGGAAUGCCAACUGUUUCACGGCUCUUACAGAUGCCAUUAUUCUGUGACGUCCUGCUGACAAACUCAGAGAAACCACAGUUUAAGAUUCCUACAAAGCUAAAAGAGGCAUUGAAAACUUCCAAGGAAUGCAUAGAAAAACGACUAACAGAAGAACAGAAAUUGAUUCACCAGCACAGAAGGCUGACAAGAGCUCAAUCUCAUCAUGGCUCUGAAGAAGAAAAAAAGAAAAGGAAGAUCUUAGCACGAAAAAAGUCGAAACGCUCUGCCUAUGAAAGUGGGGAAGAACACUCAGCAAAAUACAGCAACUCAAAUAACUCAGGCUCUGGGGCGAGUUCCCCAUUAACAUCUCCAUCAUCUCCCACUCCACCGUCUACAGCAGAGCAUGCAUCAUUUUGAACGUGAAUUUUCGGAAAAGCAUCAAGUUUACAGCAUCUGAUUUACUUCCUAUUCCUUUUAACACACUCUCUUAACAAAAAUGUCCCUGUAAAAAACGUUGGAGCAUCGUCGAUACCCCCAGCACCGCCACCUCCCCCCCUGCCACCAGCAGCUCCUCCUCCUCCUCCAAGUACAGAGGUGCCAACACAGCCAAGCCCACAGCCCGGGGUCAGUGCAAGCCGAGGAGCCUUACUCAGCUCCAUUCAAAACUUUCAGAAAGGAACUCUGAAGAAAACACAGACCUGCGACUACAGUGCUCCCAGGAUCAGCUGAGGCCUCUUGUCACACCAGGAUUGAAUUCCCUUUUCCUCUCCUGUGCUGCCUAGGAACAAGACCCUCCUGUCCGGCCACUGAUCCACCACCUAAUCAUGCUGUAGCUUCUUUUACCCCUAUUUCAGCUUUUCUGGAGGAGCAGCACCACCCUGUCUGAGUUGUGUUGCCAUGCUGUGAUAAGUUCUCCAUUCUUUACUUGGGUUCAACAACUCUGUUCUCUAGCUACAGCUUCAGGGGUAUAGCAAUUUCUAUAUAGCUGAAUAAACAUCUGAAAAUAGGAAUGACCAUGACCAUGGUGAAGUAAUGCAUUUUCUUCUAGCUCUGUUCCACCCUUUUUUCAAAUUGUAGGAAUGUAGUUUUAGUUUGCUCAGUUUUUCCAAGACUUUUCAUGCAGUUCUAACUCAUCUUAAUUCUUGCUGCACCGAAUCAGCAAGUUUUGUUUCAGAUAAUCCAACACCCUUCCUCUCCCAACCCUUAAAGGAAACUGCACAGGUGAGGAAACUGGAGAAUUAAAUCUUAUUGCCACCCUGUUUGCUGGUGGAAUAAAAAUGCUGUUUGAUUAAACUUGUUUAAAUGGACAUACUACCUGUAACUCUAAGGGAAAGUGUUUUUAAAUGAGGAAACAGUUGAAAUGAGAGUUAAUAGGGCAAUGGGAUAUUAUUCAUGAUAUAGUUAAAUGCAAAGUUAUAUCAAGUUAAUUCUACAGCUUAAACUUUAUUGAAAGAUCCUUUUUGAUUUAAAACCUUAAACAAAUUGCACUUUAAAGGAUUAUAGAUAAUCCAUUUUUUAAAUUCAAGUACAUCAGUGUUUGUUACUAUGCAGAGAAUGUCUGUACAAAGUUUCAUGUAACCUGUGAUAUUCAGUCCUUUUUAUUAAAAUGUUACUGGAAUUCCUUCA